GACGAACGCUGGCGGCGUGCUUAACACAUGCAAGUCGAACGGAAAGGCCUGCUUUCCCUUGUGGAUUGCGGGUACUCGAGUGGCGAACGGGUGAGUAACACGUGAGUGAUCUGCCCCCAACUUGGGUAUAAGCCUGGGAAACUGGGUCUAAUUCCCGAUAGGACUGCAGGGUGGUGCCUGUGGUGGGAAACGGUUUUCUAGUGGUUGGGGAUGAGCUCGCGGCCUAUCAGCUUGUUGGUGGGGUAAUGGCCUACCAAGGCGGCGACGGGUAGCCGGCCUGAGAGGGUGGACGGCCACAUUGGGACUGAGAUACGGCCCAGACUCCUACGGGAGGCAGCAGUGGGGAAUAUUGCACAAUGGGCGGAAGCCUGAUGCAGCGACGCCGCGUGGGGGAUGACGGCCUUCGGGUUGUAAACUCCUUUCGACCGCGAGGAAGCCACCUGGUUGGAAGGGUGGUGACGGUAGUGGUAGAAGAAGCACCGGCUAACUACGUG
rnacentral:rRNA from 1 species